CAAUUCUGCGCGCAAUACCCAGUGGAUCUCGUCAUCGUCAAGAAGGUGAUGACCAUAUCGGACGGUAACUUCGCCGUCACUGACGUCAACGGCUCUGUCAUCAUCAAAGUCAAAGGCACUCUCCUGAGCCUCCGUGACCACCGUGUGUUGCUCGACGCCGCUGGCAAGCCGAUCGUCUCUCUCCAAAGCAAGGUCCCAUCAAUUAUUUCUUUGUUUUUCCUUCGUAUAGGAACAUUUUUUCUGCAAAAUACGUGACAGUUUGAUGUUAGUUAUUGGUUGGUUUAGAUGUUGUCGAUGCAUAGGAGGUGGAAAGUGUUUAGAGGAGAAAGCUCAGACCCCAAAGACCUACUGUUCAGUACAAAGUUGUCGUCCAUCAUUCAAUUGAAGACAGCGCUGAAUGUGUUCUUGGCAGCCAAUACAAAAGAAGAGGUUUGUGAUUUCAAGCUCAGGGGAAGCUGGUUCGAUAGAUCCUGCACUGUUUAUGCUGGCAAUUCUAAUACGAUCAUUGCCAAAGUAAGAUCAAAGACCAUUUCAAGACAAUUAUUUUAAUCUAACUGAAUUUUCCCACCUUGUUUAAAGGAUGGUUUGAAUUUGAAAUUAUAUCAAAAUUCUUCCAUUCCUAACAAAACAUUUUGAUGUUGAAUCAAUGAGUGGUGAAUGUGAAUGCAGAUGCACAAGAAAUACAACGUUCAAAGUGUUGUGCUUGGAAAAGACACUUUUGCUGUGACUGUGUAUACCAACGUCGACUAUGCCUUCAUAGUUGCUCUUAUCGUGAUUUUGGAAGAGAUUAACAAAGAUUAAGAUGAUUGAAAGCCCCUUUCUAUGUCCACCAAGGGGCUCUGUGCCUUGUCUGUUGGACUACGAGGUUUGGUGUAUAUGCGCCAAGAAGUCAAAGUAAAUAAUCCCGGGAACCGUACCCUUGGGAGGGCUCUUUAUCCUGAAGUUUAAUAAAUGAUAUUCUCCAUAAACCAUCUGUUGGUUGUGCGCAAUUGUUUGCUGAUGUAUUUGGUUUACGUAUAUAUAAUUGCUGGAAGAGAAAACAUAAAGGGGAAUAAUUAAUUUUCUCUUAAUUAAUUUUUCUUGUAUUUGUUAAAAUGCAUACAUUCUUUAAUAGGGUCUAAUGGAACAUGGUUGCCCACCAAAAAAAAUGUACAUAUUUUUGUGAAGAAUACAUAUACCUUUUUUAAAAUAAAAAUAAAAAAUGUACGUAUCUUUCUUUAAAAUGUAUGUAGGGUUCCAAAUCAUAAUUUAGGGUGGGCGAAAACCUUAAAUUCAUUGUCAAGAUUACCCAAAUGAAUAUUUAGACCCAAAUAGGACCUAAUGGGAUCUCAAUUGGCUUCCAAAAAGACAUGUAUUUUUGUAAGAAAUAUACAUAUUUUUUUCAAGGAUGUACAUAGGGUUCCAAAUUGUAUUUCAGGGUAGGAGAAUGACUCAAAUCCAUUUCCAAGGUUCCUUAAAUGAAUAUUUAGACCCAAAAACAAGCCUAAUGGGGUCUCAUUGGCCUCCAAAAAAUGUACAUAUUUUUGUGAAGAAUGUACGUAUUUUCAUAAGGAUGGAUAAUAUACAUAGGGUUGCAAAUCACAUUUCAAGGUGGGAAAACACCUCAAAUCCAUUCCCAAGGCUCUCCAAAUAAACAUUUUAACCCAAAUGGGCCUAAUGGAGUCUCGAUUGGCCUCACAAAAAAUAUACACAUUUUUGUAAAUAAUGUACGUACUUUUCUUAAGCAUAUACGUAGGAUUCCAAAUCGCAUUUCAAAGUGGGGGAAGACCUAUAUAUUCUUCUAGGGACAUUAAGAAAGUUAUUUGAAGCAUUCCCCCACACCAAAAUGGACUUUGGAACCUCAUAUACAUCCUUAAAAAAUAAUAAUAAUAAGUACAUUUUUCUCAAAAUUAAAAUACAUACAUUUUUUUCCAAGAGUAAUUGGGAAUCCUAUCACCCUUAUUAUGACCUAUAUAUUCAUUUGAAGACCCUCGAGAAGUAAUUUAAGGCAUUCCCUCACCUUGAAAUGAACUUUGGAACCUCAUGUACAUCUUUAAGAAAAAGUAUAUUCUUAAAAAAAUAAAUACAUCUUUCCAAGGGGAACCGAACCUUAAUAACCCUUAUUAUGACUUAUAUAUUCCUUUGUGGACCCUAACCCAAAAGGGACUUUGGAACCUUAGGUAUAUCCUUAAGAAAAAUAAGUACAUUCUUCACAAAAAUAAGUACAUUUUCUCUAAGAGGAACUAAGACCCUAUCUGCCUUAUUAUGACUUAUAUAUUCCUUUGGGGAUUCUCAAGAAGUGAUUUGAGGUGUUCCCCCACUCUGAAAUGGACUUUGGAACCCCAUGAACAUUCUUAAGAAAAAUAAGUACAUUCUUUCUAAGGGGAAUCCAAACCCUAAUCACCCUUAUUAUGACUUAUACAUUACUUUAGGGACCAUAGGAAAGUUAUUUGAGGUGUUCUCCCACUUUGAAAUGGACUUUGGAACCUCACGUACAUCUCUAAAAAAAAUAAGUACAUUCUUAAGAAAAACAAGUCAAUUCUUUACAAAAAUAUGUACAUUUUUUCCAAGGGGAACUAGAACACUAAUCAUGCUUAUUAAGACCUACAUGUUCCUUUGGGGACCCUCGAAAAGUGAUUUAAGGUAUUCUCCCAUCUGUACAUAUUUAAGAAAAAUAAGUACAUUUUUCACAAAAAUACAUACAUUUUUUCCAAGGGGAGUCGAGAGCCCUAUCACCCAUAUUAUGAACUAUAUAUUCCUUUGGGGACACUUGAGAAAUAAUUUGAAGCAUUCCCUCACUCUGAAAUGAACUUUGGAACCCCAGUAUAUUUUUAAGAAAAAUAAGUACAUCCUUACAAAAAAUAAGUACAUUCUUUUCAAAGGGAACCCAGACCCUAAUAACCCUUAGUAUGACUUAUAUAUUACUUUCAAGACCCAUAGGAAAUGAUUUGAGGCAUUUCCCCACCCUGAAAUGGAUUUUGGAACCCCAUGUAUAUUCUUAAAAAAAAAUAAGUACAUUCUUAAAAAAAAAUACAUAUAUUUUCUCUAAGAUGAACUGGGACCCUUAUCACCCUUAUUAUAACCUAUAUAUUCCUUUUGGGAUUCUCAUGAAGUGAUUUGAGGUGUUCCCCUACCUCAAAAUGGACAUUGGAACUCCACAUACAUUCUUAAGAAAAAUAAGUACAUCCCUAAGAAAAAUAAGUACAUUUUUUCCAAGGGGUCGAACCCUAAUCACCCUUAUGAUGACAUAUAUUUCUUUGGGGACUCUAGGAAAGUGAUUUGAGUCGUUCUCCCACUUCAAAAUGGAUUUUGGAAGCCCAUGUACAUCUCUAAGAAAAAUAAGGAUAUUCUUCACAAAAAUAAGUACAUUUUUCUCAUAGAGUACUAGGACCCCAGUCACUCUUAUUAUGACCUAUAUAUUCCUUUGGGAACCCUCGGGAAGCGAUUUAAUAUGUUCCCCCACCUAGAAAAGGACUUUAGAACCCUAUGUACAUUUGUUCUGAAGUGGCCCCAAAUGAAUAUUUAGAUCAUAAUAAGGAUGAUCCAAACUCUUAUUACAUUUGGAAAAAAAUGUACAUAUUUUUGUGAAGAAUGUACAUUUUUUUUUUUUAAGAAUGUAUACAUUUUUCUUAAGGAUAUACAUGGGAUUCCAAAGUCUAUUUCAGGGUAGGGGAACACCUCAAAUCACUUCCCAAGGAUCUGCAAAUGAAUAUGUAGGUCAUAACAAGGGUGAUGGGGGACUCAACUCCUCUAAGAGAAAAAUUACAUUAAUUUGCAAAGAAUAUAUUUAUUUUUCUUUAAAAUGUAAUUAUUUUUAAGGAUAUACAUGGGGUUCCAAAGUCCAUUUCAAGGUAAGGGAACGCCUCAAAUCACUUCCCAAGGGUCCCCAAAUGAAUUUAUAAGUCAUAAUAAGGGUUAUUAGGGUUCGGGUUUUCCUUUGACAGAAUGUAUUUAUUUCUUUUAAAGAUGUAAGUGGGGUUUGAAAGUCCAUUUUGUAGUUGGAGAAGACCUCUAAUCACUUUUCAAGAGUCUCCAAAUGAACAUAUAAGUCAUAAUAAGAGUGAUAGGGUUCCUGGUUCCCUUUGUAAAAAAUGUAUAUAUUUUUGUGAAAAAUGUAUAUAUUUUUGUGAAAAAUGUACUUAUUUUUCUUAAGGAUAUAUGUGGGAUUUCAAAAUCUUUUUUAGGAUGGGGGAAUGCCUCAAAUCACUGCCGAAGGGUCCCUAAAUGAAUAUGUAAGUCAUAAUAAGAGUGAUUGGGGUCCUAGCUCCCCUUUGAAAAAAUGUAUGUAUUUUAUGAAGAAUAUACUUAUUUUUUCUUAAGAAUGUAUGUGAGGUUCCAAAGUUCAUUUUGGGGUAGGGUAAAGCCUCAAAUCACUUAUCAAGAAUCCCUAAAGAAAUAUAUUGGUCAGAAUAAGGGGUGAAUGUGGUUUAGGUUCCUCUUGAAAAUAAUGUACUUAUUUUUCUUAAGGAUGUGUGUGAAGUUCGAAAGUUCAUUUGGUAUUGGGGGAAUGCCUCAAACCACUCCCCAUGGGUCCUAAAAGAAAUAUAUAGGUCAUAAUAAAGGUGAUUGAGGUCCUAGUUUCCCUCAGAAAAAAUGUACAUAUUUUUAUGAAAAUUGUACUUAUUUUUCUUGAGGAUGUACAUAGGGUUCCAAAGUCCUUUUUAGGGUGGGGGAAUGCCUCAAUCACUUCCCAAGGGUCCUAUAUAAGUCAUAAUAAGGGUGAUUGGGGUCCUAAUUCCCCUUAGAAAAAAUGUACAUAUUUUUGUAAAAAAUGUACUUUUUUUUUUUUAAGACUGUACAUGUUUUUCUUUAGAAUGUAUGCGGGGUUUAAAAUUUGAUUUCAGAAUGAGGAAAGGUUACAAAUCACUUCCCAAAGUCCCUCAAUUAACUAUUUAGGACAUAAUAAGGGUCAUUGGGGUUUCGAUUUGCCCUAAAAAGAAUGUACACAUUUUUCUUAAGAAUGUACAUAUAUUUCUUAAGGAUGUACAUGGGGUUCGAAUUUGGAUUUCAGGGUGGGGUAAGGUAAUAAAUCACUUCCCAAAGUCCUCAAAUUUGUAUUUGGGUUAUAAUAAAGAUGACUGGGGUCCUAGUUUGCCCUAAAAAAAAUAUACAUAUUUUUCUUAAUGUACAUUAGGUUUGAAAUUUUUAUUUCAAGGUGCGUCAAGCUUGCAAAUAACUGGUUAAGGUCUCCCACAUGACUAUUUAUGAUAUAACAAGGGUGAUUGAGGUCCUGAUUCACUAUAUAAAGAAUGUGCAUAUUUUUCUUAAGGAUGUAUGUGGGGUUCAAAAUUCGAUUUCAAGGUGGGGUAUAGUCGCAAAUCACCCCCCAAAGUCUCCUAAAUUACUGGGUAGGACAUAAUAAGGUCAAUUGAGGUCUUGAUUUGCCUUAAACAAUGUACGCAUUUUUGUGAAGAUUGUACGUACUUUCGUGAAUAAUGUACAUGAGAUACCAAAUUUGAUUUCAGGGUGAAGGAAGGUUGCUAAUCACUCCCCGAUGUCCCCUAAAUGACUAUUUAGGAUAUAUAUAUAUAUAUAUAUAUAUUUCUUUGCCUCAAAUUGCUUCCCAAGGUCCCCAAAUGACUAUUUAGGACAUAAUAAGAGUGAUUGGGUCCUAAUUCACCCUAAAAAGAAUGAAUGUAUUUUUCUUAAGGAUGUAUGUGAGGUUCGAAAUUUGAUUUCGAGGUAGGAUAGAGUCGCAAAUUACUCCCCCAAGGUCCCCUAAAUGACUAUUUAGGACAUAAUAAGGGUUAUUAAGGUUCAGAUUUGCCAUAAAAAUGUAUGUAUUUUUUAUGAAGAACAUACGUAUUUUGAUGAAGAAUGUAUGUAUUUUCCUUAAGAAUGUAUAUGAAGUUUGAAAUUAGAUUUAGUGGCAAGAUCAUCUAAAAUUUAAUAUUCUUUGAAUAUUUUAUUUCAUGUAGCCGCAUGAUGAACUUUAUUAAUAUAUUACUUCUAAAUUUAUAUUGAAAUCAUCAAUUAUAUUAAAUAAAAAUAUAUUGUAUAACAUAAAAAUAAAAAAUAAAAAUCUUUAGCCAUAUAUCAAACAUAAAAAAUUUAAAAGUUAUAUCUAAUAUGUAUUUUAAUUAUUGCUAUGAGAUUAUGACAAAUAUCCGUAACUUGUAAAAUUCAAAAAUAAUAAUAAUAAAAAGAAAUUUCACAACAAGAAAUAUGAUUUAUAGAUUAUAUAAAAAAUCGAGGAAAUUAAAAAAAAAAUUAAUCAUAAAAAAAAUAACAAAAGUUCUUGUUUUCUAAUAAAAAAAAUAAUUAUUAUCUUUUUAUUGUAGAGUAUUUAUAUACUCUUCUAUUCUUAAAAAUUAUAAGUUGAAUACUAAAAAACCUAUAAAAAAAAUUCAACUUUUUGUCUAUUGUAUUUUAGGUUAUCUUUUAUUUGUUCUCAAUUGAAAUUAAAAAAAAAAGUUUUAGAAGGAAAAUUGUGGUGGUUGGAGGGGAAAAAUAUUGUUAAAUGAUAUAAAAAGUGAAAGUGUCGAGGAGGAGUUGUGAUUCUUUGAUUUUUUUAUUUUUUAUUUUAAUUAAAAAGAUGAUACCUUCUUUAAUGUUUUGUCACAUCAAAAAGGGUAAUGGUAGAAUUCUUAUCAUGAAUAUUAUCUAAGUGCACGUUGAAAGAAUAAUUUUACCUAUUGUAUAUUUGAUAUAAAAUGUGAAAGUUACAACUCUUAAAAGCCUCUUUUUUUUUUUUUAUUGGUGUAUGGAAGUAUGAUUUUUUCUUUUAUUUUAUAAAUUUAAAAUAAUAAAAAAAUUAAUUUUUUUUAAAUAAUAUAAAUAUUAUAUAAGGUAUUUAAAUUACUCUUGAAGUAUUUUAUUACUACAUAUAAUUAAUUAACUAUAUAAAAAUAUGAAAGAGUGAUUAUUUUGCUAUCGUUUUAGCACUUAUAUUUGCACUUUCUAUUUUUGUUAUAUUAAUAAAAAACAUUUAGUGGCUUAUUCUAUCUUAAUUAUAAAAAAUUUAGGGAGAAUUAUGUUUUGGGGGUAGAUGGGCCCCCAAAUUAACAAAAGGUCCAUGUAACUCUUCAAAUUGAGCCCAAGAUCCAAUGAAAGUAUGGAAAUUGAGUUGAAGGAUAUCAUCCUUCAGUAUUUCCAAAAAUGUCCUUUGUUGAUUUUGAGAAAAAAAAAAUUAAUAUUUUUGAAAAAUACUUUUAUUUAAUUUAAUAUUUUUGAUUUAAUUUAAUAUUUUUAAAAAAUAUUUUUAUGUAAUUUAAUAUUUUUUAAAAUACUUUUAUUUAAUUUAAUAUUUUUUAAAAAUAAAUUUAUUUAAUUUAAUAUUUAAAAAAUAUUUAAUUUAAUAUUUUUUUAAAUACUUUAAUUUAAUUUAAUAUUUUUGAAAAAAAAUUAAUUUAAUAUUUUUGAAAAAAAUUAUUUAAUUUAAUAUUUUUGAAAACUACUUUUAUUUAAUUUAGUAUUUUUGAAAAAAAAUAUUGAAAAAAAAUUAUUUAACUUAAUUUUAUAAAAUAUUUUAUAUGUGUUCUUAAAGGGUAUAUUUGUCCGUUACUAUUUCAUAUCCUUCAACUCAAUUUGAAGAAUUAUAUGGAUUUUUUGUUAAUUUGGGGGUCCAUCUACCUGCAAAAGAUAAUUCUCUAAAAAAUUUAAAGGGAUAAGGAAAUUUUAUGAAAUUGUUUCGUUUUUUAGAAAUAGAUAAAUAGGAAUCAUUUGGUUUUGGACAGCUAACCAUGCACGCGUGUCAGACGGCCAAGAGGGAAUAACCAGAUGUUCUACUAAAGCAAGUACCCCUGACCUUCACGCCCAGCAGACAAGACUCGAGCAAUAACCAAACCCUAAAUCUCAAUCCUUUCACCAUGGCCACCGAUCCAACCGCCGCAGGUCCCGUGACAGUGCCCGCUGCAGCCUACCAGCCGUUACCAAACCCAAUGACCGUCGUGGGGCCGCAAUUCUGCGCGCAAUACCCAGUGG
rnacentral:lncRNA from 1 species